rnacentral:rRNA from 1 species
CGAACGCUGGCGGCGUGCUUAACACAUGCAAGUCGAACGGAAAGGCCCUGCUUUUGUGGGGUGCUCGAGUGGCGAACGGGUGAGUAACACGUGAGUAACCUGCCCUUGACUUUGGGAUAACUUCAGGAAACUGGGGCUAAUACCGGAUAGGAGCUCCUGCAGCAUGGUGGGGGUUGGAAAGUUUCGGCGGUUGGGGAUGGACUCGCGGCUUAUCAGCUUGUUGGUGGGGUAGUGGCUUACCAAGGCUUUGACGGGUAGCCGGCCUGAGAGGGUGACCGGCCACAUUGGGACUGAGAUACGGCCCAGACUCCUACGGGAGGCAGCAGUGGGGAAUAUUGCACAAUGGGCGGAAGCCUGAUGCAGCAACGCCGCGUGCGGGAUGACGGCCUUCGGGUUGUAAACCGCUUUCGCCUGUGACGAAGCGUGAGUGACGGUAAUGGGUAAAGAAGCACCGGCUAACUACGUG